rnacentral:lncRNA from 1 species
UGAUUAGUCUCUCUUACUCUUUAUGCAGCUCUUUGUGUCUGUCAUGUAUCAGCAAAGCCUAUUAUAAGACCAUUUCAGCCUUCAAUGGACAGACUUCCGGGAAAGCGUCUGAGCUCCGAUUCCUGCUGGUUCUGAGCAGCGGGUCCCAGAAUGCUGCUCCCGCCGCCCCCACUGGCCCCAACUGUCCUGCUCCUCACCACCAAGAGACUGAGUUUCUCUCUUGGCAAACCUCCACGUGCAAUCUCAGCAAGACGGAAUAAGGAGGCACUAAACCAGCGUUCUGGCAUCUCAACACCAGCAUCUGAAAAUUUCCUCAGGCAAAAGGAGAGAAACAUGAAACAGCUGGUCACUGUGAUGCGUACUGUAAGAACCAACCCCCAAAUGACAAGCCAUUCUGCCUCUGUACUUCCUGCUUGCUUAUCCCAUGUAAGCCCUAGACCCCCAGAGAUCAGGGUCUGAUAUUCUGGGAGUGAUACCAAUCAUUACCUAUCAACGUAAAUAAAUCUGCCUCCAAAUCCUGGGUAUCAUUUUGGUGUUUCUGUUUGCUGCUACAAUAAUAUUAUUGAAAAUUUAUGUAAAAAAUGCAGAUAUAAAUCAAAAUACAAUAAUCUCAGGUUCACUGUUACCAUUGUAAAAUAAAUAUGCCAUCAUCAUUGUAUUCUUCUAAUAUUUAUAAUUUUGUUUCUUUUUAGGGUUUUCAUAAGUCUCAGUUUCCUAAUUCUCUUGAUUUCCUUCUACUAAACUAAGACGUAACACUUUAUAUGUCACCUUACCAUAAAUAUCCAUAAGUGUAUGGAGACAGAUCAGAAAGUGGAUGUCCAGUAGUUAUUUGACUAAAGGAAAUCUGUUAAAAAUGGAAAGACUCAAAAAGCAUACUGAUAUUCUAUUAUUCAGCUAAUCAAAAUAAAUAUUUUUAUUUAAAGUUGAU